CGCACCUUCGGGUGAGCGGCGGACGGGUGAGUAACGCGUGGGAACGUGCCCUAAGGUACGGAACAACUGAGGGAAACUUCAGCUAAUACCGUAUGUGCCCUUCGGGGGAAAGAUUUAUCGCCUUAGGAGCGGCCCGCGUUGGAUUAGCUAGUUGGUGGGGUAAAGGCCCACCAAGGCUACGAUCCAUAGCUGGUCUGAGAGGAUGAUCAGCCACACUGGGACUGAGACACGGCCCAGACUCCUACGGGAGGCAGCAGUAGGGAAUCUUGCGCAAUGGGCGAAAGCCUGACGCAGCCAUGCCGCGUGAAUGAUGAAGGUCUUAGGAUUGUAAAAUUCUUUCACCGGGGAAGAUAAUGACGGUACCCGGAGAAGAAGCCCCGGCUAACUUCGUGCCAGCAGCCGCGGUAAUACGAAGGGGGCUAGCGUUGCUCGGAAUUACUGGGCGUAAAGGGCGCGUAGGCGGAUAGUUUAGUCAGAGGUGAAAGCCCAGGGCUCAACCUUGGAAUUGCCUUUGAUACUGGCUAUCUUGAGUUCGGGAGAGGUGAGUGGAAUGCCGAGUGUAGAGGUGAAAUUCGUAGAUAUUCGGCGGAACACCAGUGGCCGAAGGCGACUCACUGGCCCGAUACUGACGCUGAGC
rnacentral:rRNA from 1 species